UGAAAGAAAAGAAAGACCUCAGUCACGCUUCAGACCUCUGAUCAGGGAAGGCUACCCGCUGAGUUUAAGCAUAUCAAUAAGCGGAGGAAAG
rnacentral:rRNA from 1 species